rnacentral:misc_RNA from 1 species
GUGAAUCAUCAAAUCUUUGAACGCAAAUUGCACUCUCUGGUAUUCCGGAGAGUAUGCCUGUUUGAGGGUCAGUUUAAAUAAAAAUCGGUGUGGUUGCUGCCUUUCGUGGUGACGCACCGGAUGUGGGUCGUCUUGCCUUCGGUUAAGUGACCUAAAAUUUUGCAUGAUUUUUUUGGAAGGUUUUUAAUUAUUUUACGUACGUUUUCGAUAAUGAAUU